UACAGAGGUCCCGAGCGUUGUUCGGAUUCACUGGGCGUAAAGGGUGCGUAGGUGGCAUAGAAAGUUUGAUGUGAAAGCUCAGGGCUUAACCCUGAAAUGGCAUUGAAUACUGCUGUGCUGGAGGUUUGGAGGGGGGACUGGAAUUCUUGGUGUAGCAGUGAAAUGCGUAGAUAUCAAGAGGAACACCAGUGGCGAAGGCGAGUCCCUGGACAACACCUGACACUGAGGCGCGAAAGCUAGGGUAGCAAACGGG
rnacentral:rRNA from 1 species